rnacentral:rRNA from 1 species
GGUCCCGCCUGCCCAGUGACUCUUUUAAACGGCCGCGGUAUCCUAACCGUGCAAAGGUAGCAUAAUCACUUGUUCCAUAAAUUGGGACUAGUAUGAAUGGCUAAAUGAGGACUAAACUGUCUCUUACGGACAGCCAAUGAAAUUGAUCUCCCAGUACAAAAGCUGGAAUAUACCCAUAAGACGAGAAGACCCUGUGGAGCUUAAAAAUCAAACCCAUCAAACAUGGGUUUUGAAUUUUUAGUUGGGGCGACUUCGGAGUACAAAAAAACCUCCAAAAACUAGCCAUCAAGAUCAACACACCAAAACAGCUACAUUAGACCCAGCAACUUCUACCCAAGUUGUCUGAUCAAUGAACCAAGUUACCCCAGGGAUAACAGCGCCAUCCCCUUCUAGAGUCCCUAUCGACAAGGGGGUUUACGACCUCGAUGUUGGAUCAGGACACCCCAAUGGUGCAGCCGCCAUUAAAGGUUCGUUUGUUCAACGAUUAAAGUCCUA